rnacentral:rRNA from 1 species
AUUGAACGCUGGCGGCAGGCCUAACACAUGCAAGUCGAGCGGAUGAAGGGAGCUUGCUCCUGGAUUCAGCGGCGGGCGGGUGAGUAAUGCCUAGGAAUCUGCCUGGUAGUGGGGGAUAACGUCCGGAAACGGGCGCUAAUACCGCAUACGUCCUGAGGGAGAAAGUGGGGGAUCUUCGGACCUCACGCUAUCAGAUGAGCCUAGGUCGGAUUAGCUAGUUGGUGGGGUAAAGGCCUACCAAGGCGACGAUCCGUAACUGGUCUGAGAGGAUGAUCAGUCACACUGGAACUGAGAAACGGUCCAGACUCCUACGGGAGGCAGCAGUGGGGAAUAUUGGACAAUGGGCGAAAGCCUGAUCCAGCCAUGCCGCGUGUGUGAAGAAGGUCUUCGGAUUGUAAAGCACUUUAAGUUGGGAGGAAGGGCAGUAAGUUAAUACCUUGCUGUUUUGACGUUACCAACAGAAUAAGCACCGGCUAACUUCGUG